rnacentral:rRNA from 1 species
CCUACGGGAGGCAGCAGUGAGGAAUAUUGGUCAAUGGACGCAAGUCUGAACCAGCCAUGCCGCGUGCAGGAAGACGGCUCUAUGAGUUGUAAACUGCUUUUGUACGAGGGUAAAUCCCGAUACGUGUAUCGUGUUGAAAGUAUCGUACGAAUAAGGAUCGGCUAACUCCGUGCCAGCAGCCGCGGUAAUACGGAGGAUUCAAGCGUUAUCCGGAUUUAUUGGGUUUACAGGGUGCGUAGGCGGUUCGAUAAGUUAGAGGUGAAAUCCCGGGGCUCAACUCCGGCACUGCCUCUGAUACUGUCGGGCUAGAGUUUAGUUGCGGUAGGCGGAAUGUAUGGUGGAGCGGUGAAAUGCAUAGAGAUCAUACAGAACACCGAUUGCGAAGGCAGCUUACCAAACUACGACUGACGUUGAGGCACGAAAGCGUGGGGAGCAAACAGGAUUAGAUACCCCAGUAGUC